rnacentral:tRNA from 1 species
GGCUCCAUAGUGGAAUGGUUAGCACGUCUGCUUUACAUGCAGAAGGUCCUGGGUAGAGCCA